rnacentral:rRNA from 1 species
AACGAACGCUGGCGGCAUGCCUAACACAUGCAAGUCGAACGAGACCUUCGGGUCUAGUGGCGCACGGGUGCGUAACGCGUGGGAACCUGCCCUUAGGUUCGGAAUAACUCCCCGAAAGGAGUGCUAAUACCGGAUAAUGUCUUCGGACCAAAGAUUUAUCGCCCUUGGAUGGGCCCGCGUUGGAUUAGCUAGUUGGUAGGGUAAAAGCCUACCAAGGCGACGAUCCAUAGCUGGUCUGAGAGGAUGAUCAGCCACACUGGGACUGAGACACGGCCCAGACUCCUACGGGAGGCAGCAGUGGGGAAUAUUGGACAAUGGGCGAAAGCCUGAUCCAGCAAUGCCGCGUGAGUGAUGAAGGCCUUAGGGUUGUAAAGCUCUUUUACCCGGGAUGAUAAUGACAGUACCGGGAGAAUAAGCUCCGGCUAACUCCGUG